UUAUGAAUGUAAUGAUGACUAUAAGUCCUCACCUCCAAGGUGACGCCAAAACAUGACCCCAACGUUGCGCAAUACUACAAUUUUGCCUAAUACGUAGGUUGGAGUUUGCUGUAUGGUUAGUACGCUAUUCCGUACAAGCUGUUCCAACACCAACGGGAACAAAGCGUGCCCGAAUACGUUAUCCUCUGCUUCUUCCCUUCCACUCUCCGCUCUUUUCCCCUUCUCUCCCCUCUCCGUCAAACCCUACUUUUUUGCAAGCAGAUCUCUCGUCUUAAUUACACUGACAUCCUCGUCUUAAUUCCUCGAUCGAUUAAUCUCGAUUGCGAAAUCCUUGCGUGAUCGAAUUGCCGGAAUCCUUGUAUCAUCUUCUUCUUUCGUUACGGUGCGUCGAUGAUGUCUUCGUGGUAUUGAGUGUGGGGCUUCCCCGUUCUUGUUGGACCCUCUUUUUCUUUGGACAGGGUUUGAGUCGGGAGCGUUGCGGUCGCUCCUGUUUCUGAUCUCCGUCGGAUGGAGCCUCGCGUGGGGGACAAGUUCCGCCUUGGUCGCAAGAUCGGGAGCGGUUCCUUUGGAGAGAUCUAUUUAGGAAUUAAUCUCUAAACAAACGAAGAGGUUGCCAUAAAGCUCGUAAGUUUUGCCUUUUAACGAGGAUUAUAGCUUCCAAUUUUUUUCCCUGUUCGGUGCCCUGCAGAUAAUAUAUUGUUCGUUUAGUAGAUACUCUAUGUUGAUGGGGUUCGAAAAUAAUUGCUGAAUUCUUUCA